rnacentral:rRNA from 1 species
UACGUAGGGCGCAAGCGUUAUCCGGAAUUAUUGGGCGUAAAGAGCUCGUAGGCGGUUUGUCGCGUCUGCCGUGAAAGUCCGGGGCUCAACUCCGGAUCUGCGGUGGGUACGGGCAGACUAGAGUGUGGUAGGGGAGACUGGAAUUCCUGGUGUAGCGGUGAAAUGCGCAGAUAUCAGGAGGAACACCGAUGGCGAAGGCAGGUCUCUGGGCUGUAACUGACGCUGAGGAGCGAAAGCAUGGGGAGCGAACAGG